rnacentral:rRNA from 1 species
AUUAGAUACCCCAAUAGUCAAAGCAGAAAAUGAUGAAUGUCAUAGAUUAGAUAUACAAUUUAUUCUAUAAAUGAAAGUGUAAGCAUUCCACCUCAAGAGUAAUUUGGCAACAUUGGAACUGAAAUCAUUAGACCGUUUCUGAAACCAGUAGUGAAGUAUGUUGUUUAAUUUGAUGAUACGCAAAAAACCUUACCACAAUUUGAAUAUUUAUAUAAAUCUUUUAUUGGUUUUUACUAACAUAUAUGUAAACAAUUAAAAUGAUGCUUAAAUCUCGUUUGCGAGAUUAAGCAUCAGAAAAGAUAAUAUAUUUACAAGCGUUGCACGGCUGUCUUCAGUUAAUGUCGUGAGAUUUUGGUUAGUUCCAUUAAAUUAACGUAAACCCUUACUUUAUUUUUAUAUAAAGUAGUUCUCCGCUAUAUUGGAUAUGAUAACAGGGACUAAGACAAG